rnacentral:rRNA from 1 species
GAUGAACGCUGACAGAAUGCUUAACACAUGCAAGUCUUUGGCGAAGCUGUGCUUGCACAGCCUAGCCAAGGCGGACGGGUGAGUAACGCGUAAGGAACUUGCCCUGCAGUCAGGGAUAACAGACGGAAACGACUGAUAAGACCUGGUAAAGUCAGGCGGACUCAUGUCCAGCCUGAUGAAAAGAGAUGCUGCAGGAGAGCCUUGCGUCCUACUAGCUUGUUGGUGGGGUAACGGCCCACCAAGGCGAUGAUAGGUAGCCGGCCUGAGAGGGUGGACGGCCAAAAGGGGACUGAGAGACGGCCCUUACUCCCACGGGAGGAGGGAGGGGGAAAAAUGGGACAAGGGGGGCAACCCGGAUAAAGCAAUCGGGUGGGAAAAAUAAAGGUUUUGGGAUUGAAAAGGGUUUUCAGCAGGGAAAAAAAAAAGGACGGUACCUGAAAAAGAGGCAACGGCAAAAAACGG